rnacentral:rRNA from 1 species
CCUGACUGCUAUCGGAUUGAUACUAAGCCAUGCGAGUCAUUGCAGUAAUGCAAGGCAGACGGCUCAGUAACGCGUAGUCAACCUACCCUAUGGACGGGAAUAACCUCGGGAAACUGAGUAUAAUGCCCGAUAGAACACUAUUCCUGGAAUGGUUUGUGUUCCAAAUGAAUGUCGCCGUAGGAUGGGACUGCGGCCUAUCAGUUUGUUGGUGAGGUAAUGGCCCACCAAGACUAUUACAGGUACGGGCUCUGAGAGGAGUAGCCCGGAGAUGGGUACUGAGACACGGACCCAGGCCCUAUGGGGCGCAGCAGGCGAGAAAACUUUGCAAUGUGCGAAAGCACGACAAGGUUAAUCCGAGUGGUUUCUGCUAAAGGAACCUUUUGACAGUCCUAGAAACACUGUUGAAUAAGGGGUGGGCAAGUUCUGGUGUCAGCCGCCGCGGUAAAACCAGCACCUCAAGUGGUCAGGAUGAUUAUUGGGCCUAAAGCAUCCGUAGCCGGCUCUGUUAGUUUUCGGUUAAAUCUGUACGCUCAACGUACAGGCUGCCGGGAAUACUGCAGAGCUAGGGAGUGGGAGAGGUAGACGGUACUCGGUAGGAAGGGGUAAAAUCCUUUGAUCUAUUGAUGACCACCUGUGGCGAAGGCGGUCUACCAGAACACGUCCGACGGUGAGGGAUGAAAGCUGGGGGAGCAAACCGGAUUAGAUACCCGGGUAGUCCCAGCUGUAACUAUGCAAACUCAGUGAUGCAUUGGCU